rnacentral:rRNA from 1 species
CCUACGGGAGGCAGCAGUGGGGAAUAUUGGACAAUGGGCGAAAGCCUGAUCCAGCAAUGCCGCGUGCAGGAUGAAGGCCCUCGGGUUGUAAACUGCUUUUGUACGGAACGAAAAGCCUGGGGCUAAUAUCCCCGGGUCAUGACGGUACCGUAAGAAUAAGCACCGGCUAACUACGUGCCAGCAGCCGCGGUAAUACGUAGGGUGCAAGCGUUAAUCGGAAUUACUGGGCGUAAAGCGUGCGCAGGCGGUUUUGUAAGACAGUGGUGAAAUCCCCGGGCUCAACCUGGGAACUGCCAUUGUGACUGCAAAGCUAGAGUGCGGCAGAGGGGGAUGGAAUUCCGCGUGUAGCAGUGAAAUGCGUAGAUAUGCGGAGGAACACCGAUGGCGAAGGCAAUCCCCUGGGCCUGCACUGACGCUCAUGCACGAAAGCGUGGGGAGCAAACAGGAUUAGAUACCCUGGUAGUCCACGCCCUAAACGAUGUCAACUGGUUGUUGGGUCUUAACUGACUCAGUAACGAAGCUAACGCGUGAAGUUGACCGCCUGGGGAGUACGGCCGCAAGGUUGAAACUCAAAUGAAUUGACGG